UCAAAUUCUCCCUCACUCCAAUGGGACAAAAUGGAAAAUAAUCUAGCUUUUUACUCUAAUGACAUUAGGGUUUUAUUGUUGUUUGCUGGCAUGAAAAGCUGUGGAAUGGAGAAUCAUUAGAUGGUGACAAGAUCUAAAGCUCGGAAAACUUUAAAGCCGGAUAUAUGGAAUCCAGCAGAGACCGUCUGGACUUCAACCAGCUUUAGUAGAAUCAACUUCUAAAGUUUGCACCAAAGAAAACAGAAAACAAUCAGGAAAACUAUUAUCGGAAGUUGGAGCAAUGUGCUGAAGCUCCGUUCUCCAUGCUUUUCUCCUGCAUUCCCCCCUGGGUCUGACCGUCCAUGUUUUCGUGUCUGAUUGAUCUUUGGUGCUUGUUUUUUCCUCUCUGUACCACAUGGAUUGUUUGUCCAUGUUCUAUGCUUGUACUUGUAACUGAUCCAAUCAAAUAAUUAGUAUUUAUGAGAAUUC